UGCCAGCCGCCGCGGUAAUACGGAGGGUGCGAGCGUUAAUCGGAAUUAUUGGGCGUAAAGCGCGUGUAGGCGGUUCGUUAAGUCUGAUGUGAAACCCCGGGGCUCAACCCCGGAACUGCAUUUGAAACUUCAUUUCUUGAGGGUAGGCGGAGAAAACGGAAUUCCAUGUGUAGCGGUGAAAUGCGUAGAUAUAUGGAAGAACACCAGUGGCGAAGGCGGUUUUCUAGCUUAUUCCUGACACUAAGGCGCGAAAGCAAGGGGAGCGAACAGGAUUAGAUA
rnacentral:rRNA from 1 species